UACGUAGGGUGCAAGCGUUGUCCGGAAUUAUUGGGCGUAAAGAGCUCGUAGGCGGUCUGUCGCGUCUGCUGUGAAAACCUAGGGCUUAACCCUGGGCCUGCAGUGGGUACGGGCAGACUAGAGUGCGGUAGGGGAGACUGGAAUUCCUGGUGUAGCGGUGAAAUGCGCAGAUAUCAGGAGGAACACCGGUGGCGAAGGCGGGCCUCUGGGCCGUAACUGACGCUGAGACGCGAAAGCGUGGGGAGCAAACAGG
rnacentral:rRNA from 1 species